UACGCCUCAUGAAGCUGGAGUUGCUAGUAAUCGCGAAUCAGCAUGUCGCGGUGAAUACGUUCCCGGGCCUUGUACACACCGCCCGUCACACCAUGAGAGUUUGUAACGCCCAAAGUCGGUGGCCUAACCUUUAUGGAGGGAGCCGCCUAAGGCGGGACAGAUGACUGGGGUGAAGUCGUAACAAGGUAAC
rnacentral:rRNA from 1 species